rnacentral:rRNA from 1 species
AGUGAACGCUGGCGGUAGGCCUAACACAUGCAAGUCGAACGGCAGCACAGUAAGAGCUUGCUCUUACGGGUGGCGAGUGGCGGACGGGUGAGGAAUACAUCGGAAUCUACUUUUUCGUGGGGGGUAACGUAGGGAAACUUACGCUAAUACCGCAUACGACCUACUGGUGAAAGCAGGGGAUCUUCGGACCUUGCGCGAUUGAAUGAGCCGAUGUCGGAUUAGCUAGUUGGCGGGGGAAAGGCCCACCAAGGCGACGAUCCGUAGCUGGUCUGAGAGGAUGAUCAGCCCCACCGGACCUGGGACACGGUACAGACUACUCUGGGAGGCAGCAGUGGGGAAUAUUGGACAAUGGGAGCAAGCCUGAUCCAGCCCUACCGAGUGGGUGAAGAAGGCCUUCGGGUUGUAAAGCCAUUUUGUUGGGAAAGAAAAGCAGAAGGUUAAUACCCUGCUGUUUUGACGGUACCCAAAGAAUAAGCACCGGCUAACUCCGUG